GAGAGAGGCCUUGAGGCAACGAAAACUGCUAAUAUUCAACCCUGUGGUUAGACUCCGCAGCUCACUCG
rnacentral:tRNA from 1 species